rnacentral:lncRNA from 1 species
AUGGAGAAAACAGAGCAGACUCCUCCUCUCAGCAUCAAAACAGGGCUCCUGGCCUCACCUGGGCGCAUCCUGCUGCCUGUAUUUCACUGGGAUGGAUCAUGCCUCCAGACAAUAGAGGAUGACUUGCAAUAUUUCAGACUUAAUUGGGGGAACUGCUGUGUUCGUUUCCCUCCUGUCCUGCUACACCGCUCCCCAGCAGUGUCAGAUCAGCCAAUGGCCAUGUGCCUCAGGAGGUGGCCUCACUCUGCUGUGGGGAAGCAGACAGCAUCCCCAGGGUCAGACAGUUUUACAAUGUCAAGAAGAAUGGAAAAGCUGCAAGGCACGUACGCGUAAGAUGCUGUGCUCCUGGAAAGCUUUGGAUGGGUGCCAGGCAACAUUUGGUGGCAAAGAGAAAUGGUCUUGGAAAAAGGCAACCAGCCAAGCCCUCAUACCACAACCUUACAGUUCCCGUGCAGUGGUAAUUCUGUUGGAGUGUGGAAGGAUGGCGAGCAUGCCUUCCUGCAGGCACACAUCUCGGGAUGCCGGAGCUGGACUGGAGAGCAGGGCUGGGGAGAACUGUGGACAAGAUAAGAGACAUGAAGCUCGUGCAUUCAGAGGGGAGGUGAGGAAAGCCUGGCUUAAUUAAAUUAGCAAAAGGAAAGCUGAAGAAGAGUGCUGCCUAUAAAUACACUGGUGGAAGAUGGGGAGGGGAGAGCAUCAGUGAAGGAGAACUAUUUAUGCCUGAGGACAGCGCUGGCACGAGAACAAAUGUACAUAAACUGGCCGAGAAUAAAUUCAGCCUGGAAAUUGGAAGAUCGUUUCUG